GGAUUUAUUUCCUUCGGAAUUUUUGGGUUGGACAAACAUCUAAUCAUCCUACCUUUCAAAAGAAGGCUUGAAUUCCUGUGGAACAAUAAAGAAACAGCAGAAGACAGAGAAUCCCCGGUUUCCGAGGAAAUAAAAAUGACCUGUCAACAGUUUGUACAUUAUCACCGUGACCUGUGCAUCCGAAACAUCGUCAGAGAAAGAAGUGUGCAUGCCCGUGGAGGUCAGAAGAGGGAGUCGAUCCCCUGGAGCUGGAAUUACAGGCAAUUCUGAGCUUCGUGGUGUAGAUGCCGAGAACUGAACUGGGUCCUCUGGAAGAGCAUUGAGCACUCCUAACCACUGAGCCAUCUUCCAGUCCCAGACCGUACUUUUAAAGUCUUGCGGUUUGUUGUAGGACGGACCUCACUUGUUUGUUCCCUGAUUCCUAUCAAAGCAAGUGGCUGUACUGGCUGUUGAAGGAAAGAGACUAUUUGUGGGCACUAUAAUCUGAAAAUGAAGCUUAAUUUUGUUUUAAUUUAAUAAACUAGGUUAAUAAAAGUAGGGUUUUUUAUUCCAUUCAAAUAAAUAGUCUCAUUAUGUAACCUGUCCUC
rnacentral:lncRNA from 1 species